UACGAAGGGGGGCUAGCGUUGUUCGGAAUUACUGGGCGUAAAGCGCACGUAGGCGGAUAUUUAAGUCAGGGGUGAAAUCCCGGGGCUCAACCCCGGAACUGCCUUUGAUACUGGGUAUCUUGAGUGUGGUAGAGGUGAGUGGAAUUGCGAGUGUAGAGGUGAAAUUCGUAGAUAUUCGGAAGAACACCAGUGGCGAAGGCGGCUCACUGGACUGGUAUUGACGCUGAGGUGCGAAAGCGUGGGGAGCAAACAGG
rnacentral:rRNA from 1 species